rnacentral:lncRNA from 1 species
AUACUCCCUUUUGCUUGCUAUUCUUUUCUUUUUCUUCUUUCUGCUGAAUUUCUUCAGAAAAUUAAGAACUCCAAGCACCUGUUUCCAUGUUUCAAUCAUAGGAACUUUAGUCUCCAAUUUCUUGAAGAUCGCCAACUUGAACUUAUUUCCCUUCCUAUGAUUUUUCUUUUAAUAAGGAAGAUGUUUUUCAUGUGAUCUUUUCUUCUUUCCUCUCUUCCUCUUUUUCGCAACCUUCUCCUUCUUCCACUUUCUUUUUUUCUUUUUCUUUUCUUUCUUUAUUUUCACAAUUUUUUUUCUUUUUUUCUUUUCUUUCAACCACUACUUUUCCUUUCUCAUCAUCCUUCUUACUCUCACUCAACUUUUCUGUUUCUAUCUCCUCUAUUUUUUCCGCAGUAACAACUUUUUCUGUUUUUAUUUCCUCUUUCUUUUCUUCCUUUAUUUUCUCCUCAUAUAUCUCUAUCUCUUCUUCUUCUAUCUUUACCUCCUCGACAACCUUAUCAUUUUUAGAGAUAGUGGCUUGAUAUUCUUCUUU